rnacentral:rRNA from 1 species
UACGUAGGGUGCGAGCGUUAAUCGGAAUUACUGGGCGUAAAGCGUGCGCAGGCGGUUCGUUAAGUUCGUUGUGAAAGCCCCGGGCUCAACCUGGGAACUGCAAUGGAAACUGGCGGGCUUGAGUGUGGCAGAGGGGGGUGGAAUUCCGCGUGUAGCAGUGAAAUGCGUAGAGAUGCGGAGGAACACCGAUGGCGAAGGCAGCCUCCUGGGCCAGCACUGACGCUCAUGCACGAAAGCGUGGGGAGCAAACAGG